rnacentral:tRNA from 1 species
AGAAUAAUAACUCAGUGGUGAGUAUGUGCUUAGCAUGCACUAGGUUCUGGGUUCAAACCCCAGUACCUCCA